rnacentral:rRNA from 1 species
AUUGAACGCUGGCGGCAGGCCUAACACAUGCAAGUCGAGCGGAUGAAGGGAGCUUGCUCCUGGAUUCAGCGGCGGACGGGUGAGUAAUGCCUAGGAAUCUGCCUGGCAGCGGGGGAUAACGUCCGGAAACGGGCGCUAAUACCGCAUACGUCCUGAGGGAGAAAGUGGGGGAUCUUCGGACCUUACGCUAUCAGAUGAGCCGAGGUCGGAUUAGCUAGUUGGUGGGGUAAAGGCCUACCAAGGCGACGAUCCGUAACUGGUCUGAGAGGAUGAUCAGUCACACUGGAACUGAGACACGGUCCAGACUCCUACGGGAGGCAGCAGUGGGGAAUAUUGGACAAUGGGCGAAAGCCUGAUCCAGCCAUGCCGCGUGUGUGAAGAAGGUCUUCGGAUUGUAAAGCACUUUAAGUUGGGAAGAAGAGCAGUAAGUUAAUACCUUGCUGUUUUGACGGUACCAACAGAAUAAGCACCGGCUAACUUCGUG